rnacentral:lncRNA from 1 species
AUUUAUCAGAUACAAGUUAUCCAAGUCAUGCUCUGCUCCAAAAGAAAGCAGCAGCAAUCAUUUCCAAUAUAAUUUAGUCUUUCAAGAAACAUCUCAGCUCCGCUAGUUAAAUGUUUUUUUGUGGAGGUCGAGCAUUAAGAUUGAAUGUUAGGAGGUCGUUGAGCAUAUUUCUAACUCGUACCAAUGUGAGGCUAGGAUGAUAGGACAUAGUCUUAGACUGCUAGUGGUCAAUGUUGUGCUCACACUACUCUUCCGUUUUCAUGGUGUCGGAUCUUAUUUACUUGUUACUCCCUUCGUUCCAAUUUAUAUGAACCUGUUUGACUGGGCACGGAAUUUAAGAAAAAUGAAGACUUUUGAAAUUUGUGGUCCUAAACAAGUCAACAAGGAUCUAGAGUAUUUAUGUGGUUAUAAAAGCUUCUGAUUAAGGGUAGAAUUGGAAGCAUGGGAUCAAUUGUUUCUAAAUUUAGAAAGGGGUCAUUCUUUUGGAACGAACCAAAAAGGAAAUAGGUAACAUAAACUGGAACGGAGGGGGUAUUAAUUUAGCUUUCCAUCUACCUAUUGGUACUUGUGAUGUUAUUACUUCUAUGGUUUUUUGUUGAUGGUACUAAUAUAUUGUCUCGUUUCAUCUUCUUGAGCCGAGGUUCUAUGGAAACAGCAUCUCUAUCCCCUCAGGGCAGAUGUAAAGUUUGGCGUACAUACUAUCCUCCCCAGACCCCACUUGUGGGAUUUUACUGGGUGAUUGUUGUUGUUUUGUAAGGAAAUGACGAAAUUGUUAGAGUUUCAAUCAAAAGUAAGUCACCAAGUCAAAAGAAAAGAUUGGGCAAAAAUCUUUUGUUUCUAAAAUAGGCAACAAAAGUUAACAAUAAUUUGCUAACUGUAACGGGUACGGCUGGGGAGGAGAUUAGGUUCUUAAAGACAUAGACACAAUAGACAGGGUUGGUGAACGGGGAGUGAGGGGAGGAAAAGAGGAAAAAUCUAAGUGUGUCGGACUAACUAUCUAUCUAUAUCACAGCUAUUGUUUACCAGACUGCUAGUGGUCAACGUUGUGCUCACACUACUCUUCCGUUUUCAUGGUGUCGGAUCUUAUUUACUUGCUCCCUUCGUUCCAAUUUAUGUGAACCUGUUUGACUGGGCGCGGAAUAUAAGAAAAAUUAAGACUUUUGAAAUUUGUGGUCCUAAACAAGUCAACAAGGAUCUAGAGUAUUUAUGUGGUUAUAAAAGCUUCUGAUUAAGGGUAGAAUUGGAAGCAUGGGAUCAAUUGUUUCUAAAUUUAGAAAGGGGUCAUUCUUUUGGAACGAACCAAAAAGGAAAUAGGUAACAUAAACUGGAACGGAGGGGGUAUUAAUUUAGCUUUCCAUCUACCUAUUGGUACUUGUGAUGUUAUUACUUCUAUGGUUUUUUGUUGAUGGUACUAAUAUAUUGUCUCUUUUCGUCUUCUUGAGCCGAGGUUCUAUGGAAACAACAUCUCUAUCCCCUCAGGGCAGAUGUAAAGUUUGCGUAUAUACUAUCCUCCCCAGACCCCACUUGUGGGAUUUUACUGGGUGAUUGUUGUUGUUUUGUAAGGAAAUGACAAAUUUGCUAGAGUUUCAAUCAAAAGUAAGUCACCAAGUCAAAAGAAAAGAUUGGGCAAAAAUCUUUUGUUUCUAAAAUAGGCAACAAAAGUUAACAAUAAUUUGCUAACUGUAACGGGUACGGCUGGGGAGGAGAUUAGGUUCUUAAAGACAUAGACACAAUAGACAG